rnacentral:lncRNA from 1 species
UCUUUUCUCAAGGUUGCAUCAACUUCCGGGGUGCCUUAUCAGCCUAAGUUUGAGGUGUGUCAUUCAUCCACUACCAUUGAUCUCGGGCUCGUCCAACCAUUUCUCAUCACUCUGUACACACAAGUAAACAACGAAAACAAACAAAAACAAUACGACGACAACAAAACAAAACAUGAAAGGAAAUAAAACAUGAAAGGAAAAACCUCCCCACACCUGAACUAAACAUUGACCUCAAUGUUUAAAUCCAGAUACAAAGGGGACUCACAGCGACUACUGUUGGUUUACUGCACUUGUGUAAUUUCCUUCCACUUGGAGGUGUUUGUGACUUUGCCCUUUUAAUUCUCCUCCUCC